rnacentral:ncRNA from 2 species
UGACAGUUUCAGGGCGGGGUGAGAUUCCCCACUGGCGGUAACGGCCUGGGCGCGCCCAGAACCCGAAGUCCGCGACCCGCUAAAAAGGCGGCUGACCUGGUGAGAUUCCAGGACCAACGGUUACAGUCCGGAUGGAAGAAACGGAGG